UACGUAGGCAGCGAGCGUUGUUCGGAGUUACUGGGCGUAAAGAGUGCGUAGGCGGUUUUCUAAGUUUGGUGUGAAAUCUCCCGGCUCAACUGGGAGGGUGCGCCGAAGACUGGAAGGCUUGAGUAUGGGAGAGGUAAGCGGAAUUCCUGGUGUAGCGGUGAAAUGCGUAGAUAUCAGGAGGAACACCUGUGGUGUAGACGGCUUACUGGACCAUAACUGACGCUGAGGCACGAAAGCGUGGGUAGCAAACAGG
rnacentral:rRNA from 1 species